UGGCUAUGUUUUCUAAAGAGCAUCUAGCAGUUUUCAUCUGGUACAUCAACUUCCCACAUAGGUUUUUUAUUAUAUUUUUUAUACUUAUUAUUAUAUUUCUUUUUAGUUUUCCUCACGGGAGAAAAAGCCAAUUCCGUAUUAAAACGCUACCCAAGAGCUAAUGGGUUUUUUGAAGAAAUAAGACAGGGCAACAUUGAGCGUGAGUGCAAAGAAGAAUUCUGUACAUUUGAAGAAGCAAGAGAAGCUUUUGAAAAUAAUGAAAAAACUAAGGAGUUUUGGAGCACCUACACAAAAGCGCAACAAGGGGAGAGUAACCGAGGAAGUGACUGGUUUCAGUUUUACCUUACCUUUCCGUUAAUCUUUGGCCUCUUCAUUAUCCUCCUUGUCAUUUUCCUAAUCUGGAGAUGCUUCCUAAGAAACAAAACUCGUAGACAGACAGUGACUGAAGGCCACAUUCCUUUCCCUCAGCACCUUAAUAUUAUCACCCCACCCCCCCCACCAGAUGAAGUGUUUGACAGCAGUGGAUUGUCUCCAGGCUUUCUGGGAUACGUAGUUGGGCGCUCAGAUUCCGUCUCUACUCGCCUGUCCAAUUGUGAUCCCCCACCAACCUAUGAGGAAGCCACUGGCCAAGUGAACCUGCAGAGGAGUGAAACAGAACCUCAUUUAGACCCACCCCCGGAGUAUGAGGACAUAGUCAACUCCAACUCAGCCAGUGCCAUUCCUAUGGUGCCUGUGGUCACCACCAUCAAAUGAAGCUGCAAACUUCUUUUUACUCUAA
rnacentral:sRNA from 1 species